rnacentral:rRNA from 1 species
AUUGAACGCUGGCGGCAGGCCUAACACAUGCAAGUCGAGCGGAUGAAGGGAGCUUGCUCCUGGAUUCAGCGGCGGACGGGUGAGUAAUGCCUAGGAAUCUGCCUGGUAGUGGGGGAUAACGUCCGGAAACGGGCGCUAAUACCGCAUACGUCCUGAGGGAGAAAGUGGGGGAUCUUCGGACCUCACGCUAUCAGAUGAGCCUAGGUCGGAUUAGCUAGUUGGUGGGGUAAAGGCCUACCAAGGCGACGUUCCGUAACUGGUCUGAGAGGAUGAUCAGUCACACGGGAACUGAGACACGGUCCAGACUCCUACGGGAGGCAGCAGUGGGGAAUAUUGGACAAUGGGCGAAAGCCUGAUCCAGCCAUGCCGCGUGUGUGAAGAAGGUCUUCGGAUUGUAAAGCACUUUAAGUUGGGAGGAAGGGCAGUAAGUUAAUACCUUGCUGUUUUGACGUUACCAACAGAAUAAGCACCGGCUAACUUCGUG